GAUGAACGCUGGCGGCGUGCCUAACACAUGCAAGUCGAGCGAUUCUCUUCGGAGAAGAGCGGCGGACGGGUGAGUAACGCGUGGGUAACCUGCCCUGUACACACGGAUAACAUACCGAAAGGUAUGCUAAUACGAGAUAAUAUACUUUUAUCGCAUGGUAGAAGUAUCAAAGCUUUUGCGGUACAGGAUGGACCCGCGUCUGAUUAGCUAGUUGGUAAGGUAACGGCUUACCAAGGCGACGAUCAGUAGCCGACCUGAGAGGGUGAACGGCCACAUUGGAACUGAGACACGGUCCAAACUCCUACGGGGGGCAGCAGUGGGGAAUAUUGCACAAUGGGCGAAAGCCUGAUGCAGCAACGCCGCGUGAGCGAUGAAGGCCUUCGGGUCGUAAAGCUCUGUCCUCAAGGAAGAUAAUGACGGUACUUGAGGAGGAAGCCCCGGCUAACUACGUGCCAGCCGCCGCGGUAA
rnacentral:rRNA from 1 species